CCUACGGGAGGCAGCAGUGAGGAAUAUUGGUCAAUGGACGAGAGUCUGAACCAGCCAAGUAGCGUGCAGGAUGACUGCCCUAUGGGUUGUAAACUUCUUUUAUAAAGGAAUAAAACGAGGCACGUGUGCCUUUUUGCAUGUACUUUAUGACUAAUGAUCGGCUAACUCCGUGCCAGCAGCCGCGGUAAUACGGAGGAUCCGAGCGUUAUCCGGAUUUAGUGGGUUUAAAGGGAGCGUAGAUGGGUUGUUAAGUCAGUUGUGAAAGUUUGCGGCGCAACCGUAAAAUUGCAAUUGAUACUGGCAGUCUUGAGUACAGUUGAGGUAGGCGGAAUUCGUGGUGUAGCGGUGAAAUGCUUAGAUAUCACGAAGAACCCCGAUUGCGAAGGCAGCUUACUAAACUGUGACUGACAUUGAUGCUCGAAAGUGUGGGUAUCAAACAGGAUUAGAUACCCGGGUAGUC
rnacentral:rRNA from 1 species